rnacentral:tRNA from 1 species
AAUGUAGUUCAGUUGGUUAGAACGUCGGAUUGUGGUUCCGAAGGUCGUGGGUUCGAGCCCCAUCUUU